rnacentral:rRNA from 1 species
CCUACGUGAGGCAGCAGUGAGGAAUAUUGGUCAAUGGGAGAGCUCCUGAACCAGCCAAGCCGCGUGAGGGAAGACGGCCCUAUGGAUUGUAAACCUCUUUUGUCGGGGCGCAAAAGACGCCACGCGUGGCGUUCCGAGAGUCCCCGAAGAAAAAGCAUCGGCUAACUCCGUGCCAGCCGCCGCGGUAAUACGGAGGCUGCGAGCGUUAUUCGGAUUUAUUGGGUUUAAGGGGUGCGCAGGCGGAAGAUAAAGUCAGCGGUAAAAUUGAGGGGCUAAACCUCUUCGGGCCGUUGAAACUGGUAUUCUUGAGUGAGUGAGAGGGAUGCGGAAUGCGGGGUGGAGCGGGGAAAUGCAUAGAUAUCACGAAGAACUCCGAUUGCGAAGGCAGCAUACCGGCGCUCAACUGACGCUCAUGCACGAAAGUGUGGGUAUCGAACAGGAUUAGAUACCCCGGUAGUC